rnacentral:rRNA from 1 species
GACGAACGCUGGCGGCAUGCCUAAUACAUGCAAGUCGAGCGAACAGAUGAAGUGCUUGCACUUCUGACGUUAGCGGCGAACGGGUGAGUAACACGUAAGGAAUCUACCUAUAAGCGGGGGAUAACAUUCGGAAACGGGUGCUAAUACCGCAUAAUAUCUUCUUCCGCAUGGAAGAAGAUUGAAAGACGGCUCUGCUGUCACUUAUAGAUGACCUUGCGGUGCAUUAGUUAGUUGGUGGGGUAACGGCCUACCAAGACGAUGAUGCAUAGCCGACCUGAGAGGGUGAUCGGCCACAGUGGGACUGAGACCCGGCCCAAACUCCUACGGGAGGCAGCAGUAGGGAAUCUUCCGCAAUGGGCGAAAGCCUGACGGAGCAAUGCCGCGUGAGUGAAGAAGGCCUUCGGGUCGUAAAACUCUGUUAUAAGAGAAGAACAAAUUGUAGAGUAACUGCUACAGUCUUGACGGUAUCUUAUCAGAAAGCCACGGCUAACUACGUGCCAGCCGCCGCAGUAA